AGUGAACGCUGGCGGUAGGCCUAACACAUGCAAGUCGAACGGCAGCACAGGAGAGCUUGCUCUCUGGGUGGCGAGUGGCGGACGGGUGAGGAAUACAUCGGAAUCUACUCUGUCGUGGGGGAUAACGUAGGGAAACUUACGCUAAUACCGCAUACGACCUACGGGUGAAAGCAGGGGACCUUCGGGCCUUGCGCGAUUGAAUGAGCCGAUGUCGGAUUAGCUAGUUGGCGGGGUAAAGGCCCACCAAGGCGACGAUCCGUAGCUGGUCUGAGAGGAUGAUCAGCCACACUGAAACUGAGACACGGUCCAGACUCCUACGGGAGGCAGCAGGUGGGAAUCUUGGACAAUGGGCGCCAGCCUGAACCAUCCAUACCGCGUGGGUGAAGAAGGCCUUCGGGUUGUAAAGCCCUUUUGUUGGGAAAGAAAUCCAGCUGGCUAAUACCCGGUUGGGAUGACGGUACCCAAAGAAUAAGCACCGGCUAACUUCGUGCCAGCAGCCGCAGUAA
rnacentral:rRNA from 1 species